rnacentral:tRNA from 1 species
CAGGGAGACAACAAAAUGUUUAAUAUUAUUAUUUUGUCACCUUAGGUCGAUCGGUAUCUCACGUUUUUAAUUUAUUAAGAAUUUCAUUUCCUAAGUUUUUCUAGGUCACACCCAUUAUUUUCCUGGGCCAUUAGCUCAGGUGGUUAGAGCGCACCCCUGAUAAGGGUGAGGUCCCUGGUUCAAGUCCAGGAUGGCCCAUAUCUCUAUGUUGGGGGUAUAGCUCAGUUGGUAGAGCGCCUGCUUUGCAAGCAGGAUGUCAGCGGUUCGAGUCCGCUUACCUCCACUGAUUACCACCUCUUCCAUAAUCUGUAGAAAGGAAAUGUUUUGAGUCGUGAUCAAAUUCUGAACGAAUCUAGCUUCCUAAUGAAAGCAUUAAGAUGCUGGACUCAUUGAAUUAAUUUCAUUGUUUUCAGAGAACCUUGACAACUGCAUAGAUUAUUUUUAAAGACAAUAAGCAUCGUUAAUGAUGCAGAUUUUUUAUUUGUGCGAAUGCAUUAAUAACAAUUCUAUUAAGCUGAUGCUUCAAUUUUGAAGUUAUU